UACGGAGGGGGCUAGCGUUGUUCGGAAUUACUGGGCGUAAAGCGCACGUAGGCGGCUUUGUAAGUUAGAGGUAAAAGCCCAGGGCUCAACCCUGGAAUUGCCUUUAAGACUGCAUCGCUUGAACAUCGGAGAGGUAAGUGGAAUUCCGAGUGUAGAGGUGAAAUUCGUAGAUAUUCGGAAGAACACCAGUGGCGAAGGCGACUUACUGGACGAUUGUUGACGCUGAGGUGCGAAAGCGUGGGGAGCAAACAGG
rnacentral:rRNA from 1 species